CUAAAAGCUGCAGGACAGUAGCUCUCGAGGACUAGGAUUGGGCACCCCUGGAGUAGCAGCAUGACAGGGAUCCCAAACACACUGCAGAUGCAGUAAAAGCAUAUAAGGAUAGAGCAGGAUCAUCAUGACAGAUCCAAGUCAGAAUUUUCAUCUGGUGUGCCUCCUCAACUCGGAUCUGAAAACAAGCUGCAGGCAUGAAGCAAGCACCACCAAGGAUCACCAUCAUCCACUACAACCAACUGUUUCUCAUAUGUACAUGGAAGUUUCUGUUGUGAUUUGAGGACUCUAGACAAGUGGAGGACAAAAGAAGUAGUGGCAGGUCUAAAAG